rnacentral:piRNA from 1 species
UAAAAAGAUGCAAAGAGAGUCUCUGGUGAG